AUGCUGGAUUCCAACAUUCUGCACUUCUGGCCCUGCUCCAAGGAGAGAGAGGCUGGUCCUUUCUUCUGGUGUCGUGAGAAGGGCUCGUCACACACAGCAGGGAAAAAUCUGUGCAUUUUCCAGGCAGAUUCUUUGGAUUCUGGAUUAAACCUGGGAGCCUGGCUGGUCUGGGAGCCCCACCUGCCUCACUUCCCAGGCAGACCCAUCCCCAUGCUCCCAGGGGAUGUGCUCAGGCUGAUUCUUCCCUUAAAUCAGAAGAAUUCUCUCCAAGAAUUGUUCAUCUUGCAGAACCCCCUCCUGCAGCUGAGGAAUUCCUGCCCAGCCAGGUGCAGUGCUGCCCACGUUGACAUCUCAGCCUGGAGAGCUGGAGCUGUCCCCAAAUGCAGGAUCCUGGGGAUUAUUUUUAGAGAGGCCUCACGUUUUUGGAGAGGGCUGAAAUGUGCUGUCCUCACCAGAAAGGGUGCAGAAAAUAGAUCAGGGAAUUGUUCAUUUCUGGUGACAAAUGCUAUUUCAGCUGCUGUGGGAAGACAGCAGAAGAUGUGUCCUGGUCCAAGAGGGAAGGGGCUGGAGCUCUCCUGGGGCAGGAGCAGGACUUGUCACACACAGGGACAAAGAAUAUUUGCGUUUUCCAAACGUUUUCUUUGUGUUUCUGUGGGGCUGAAUGAAAACCACAGCAAACAUCAAUCAUGGAAUGGGUUGGAAAGGACCUUAAAUCCCAUCCAGUUCUUAAAUCCCAUCCCUGCCAUGGCAGGGACACCUCCCACUGUCCCGGGCUGCUCCAGCCUGGCCUUGGGCACUGCCAGGGAUCCAGGAGCAGCCACAGCUUCUCUGGAAUUUCCAUCCCAGCCCCUCAUCACCCUCCCAGGGAACAAGUCCUUCCCAAAAUCCCACCCAGCCCUGCCCUCUGGCAGUGGAAGCCAUUCCCUGUGUCCUGUCCCUCCGUCCCAGUCCCUCUCCAGCUUCCAGAAGGAGCUGAAGCUGAGGGACGUGGGAGAGCCAGGCAGGACCCCAGCAACAUGCACAAUUCUCCGUCCCAGUCCCUCUCCAGCUUCCAGAAGCAGCUGA
rnacentral:lncRNA from 1 species